rnacentral:tRNA from 1 species
GACAGAUAGCUCAGUUGGUAGAGCAACGGACUGAAAAUCCGUGUGUCGGGAGUUCGAGCCUCCCUCUGUC